UCUGAGUCAAACAGCCAAGCUGUGGCUCAUCCAGAAUUAGGACAUCUAACCUGAACGGCUGAUGGGAAAUGAACUCAAGAACCACAUAAAACAUCAUUCAUGCAAUCAAAUACUAUCGUUCUUGUCUUUGGAGAAGGAAAGUAACAAAUAAACAAAACAAGCUACAUGUGAGAUUACACGUUCCUAAAAGAAGAGUCAAAUAGAAGAUGCUGGAGUGAGGCAAUGAAGGAAGAACUUACAGAAAACAAUACGUUUAGGCCACCACGACUUCUCAUCUGAUCUCCUUAUGGCUGGAAUGAAUUUUAAUAUUGUGUUCAUAUAUAAGGAAAUGCUGACACAGAGCUUACACAGAAAUAUUUACACAGAAGAAAAUGACGAUACUCAUGGAGCUCUGUCAAGAGGAAACCAGCUCACAGAAGCACCAAGGGAUGUAAUCUGCAUGUGAGUGUGAAUCAAAGCGACACUGAGAGUCUGAACAGCUCACCCUUGCCUAGAGUCAUUCUGCAACAGUCAAAUGAUUUCCAAGUGGAGGAAUAGUCAUCUGCAAGAUUGAAUUACCCACAGGAAACCUAAUGAUGGUUUUUCUCAACCUGACAAGGAUGGUACAGACUUUAAAGGGUACCCCAGAGGAGCAUUCAGGUGUCGAAUGCAUCAAAAGAGCAGAAGUGCAUCUCCAAAAAUUGAAUGAAUCUGUGCCGUUCCUUGUCAAUUUCGUGCUGCCUACAGUAACACUAUAACUGAAAACAGCAAUGAUGUCACUGGAAGUGCUCUGUUAUGACAAAGAACAACAGUAACAGUCAGAGGUGGCUCCUAAGAGAAUUCACAAUCCACUCGAAGUCCUCCAUGGGCUCAUCCUUUGAUUUGAAGAAGGAAUGAAAUAUUCUUUGCAUGAGAGAGGAGAGAUGGGAAGUGAUACCUAAGGAUGGUCAGUUCCUCUAAAGAUAGAUACAUGACAGGGUGAACACUGAUAUAUUUCUUAGGUUGUCUGUAACUAGCUCUGGGGGCCCAAAGAUGUAGUGAUGGCUGUGAAGGACAUUCCUUAACUGUCACACUUGUUGCAAUGAGUGGAAGGUGGCAUUUGUUUGGAAAUCCCUCCCCAGCCUUUGUUCCCAGAACCCAGCAUUCAUUUCCCUGUGCCUACAUACGUAGUUCCUUAGAUAAACACUACUACUGCAACAAAUCAUGGAGUGCCAGGCCUUACCAGAUGGUCACAUAGAAUUAAAAAUAUAUGCAAGAAAAUAAGUUCUAAAGUAAAAAUGUAUCAAGAUAUAACUCUCACUAAUUCCUAAAAUUGCCUGCUAUUAUAUCCAUGCUGCUACAGUCUUUAUCCACUCGAAUUUUUGUUUCUAUCAUCCUUCUUUGAAAUCCUCUGUACUUCUCUAGUCAUGAAAUCCUGCCAUUUAUUAAGGACAAGCUGAAGUCUCACCACCUUCAUCAACUCCUUCCUCACUAUCCAUGCCUAGUGAGAUAACCUUUCUGAAAUCCCACUGUCUUUUGUCUUCUAAUCAUGAUUGUCCUUUCCAGCCAUUUUAUAUUCUUCUCCUUAAUAGAAUCUAACUUCCUGGAUAGUGGAGUCCACUUUAAAAUUCUUCCUGUGCUGAACCCAUUGACAAGGUAGGAAAUAUCCUGUAGAGGAAAGAACAGGAACUUUGGAGUCCUCAAGCUAGAAGUGCAUUAUAUGUAAUUAUAAACUGUAACCUAAGCCAAGUCUAAUUAGAGGAAGUUUCUUUCAGGAAGAAACUCUUCCCUCUAUCUUCCCCCUUUCUUUUCAAAUGACAUUUUUUUUCUAUUUUUUCAUAGGGAUUAAUAUACUCUGAUGAAAUUAAGCUUCCUAGAUAUGAAUCAGGAUUUGAAUGGGUAUGAUUCUGGGAAAUUUACUCACUUCCGUUUGCCUCAGUAUCCCCAAGUAUAAAACAGCUUUAAAAUUUGCCUUUAGCAUCAGUUAGCACCACUGUCCUUAGUUAAUAUCCUGAAUGUUUAAAAAAAUACUAUUCAGGCUAAAGUGCUUAAAACAAUGUCCUACAUAUAAUGAGUGCUUAAUCAACACUGGCUAUUAUUUUAUAAAAAAAUUCUUUUGAUUAGUAUUCAAUUAAAUUGUCCUGGUUUUUCGCCAAGUAGACUUACACUUGGUUGAAUUUAGAACCAGCUUGCAGGCUGAAAACCAACAAUCUAGCAACAAAAUUUGUUUGGUCUACCUUGCACAGGACAUAGUUAUUGCUGGGAAAUAGCUGAGCCCCACACACUAUACUUUUCAGUCCUCUCCCCUUGCUUUCUAAUAGUGAGUUCUUGCAGAAGAGAAAUAAGCAGAAGUUAUAAGUGUCACUUCUAGUCCAACUAUGCCCCGCUCUCUUCUUCAUUCUUCUUUUACUGGAUUGAUGCUAAUAAGCACAGUGAUCUGAGAAGACACAUGUUAAAGAUACUAGGUCCAUUAGAUGGUUAGAAAGCCUGGGUCUCUGAUUUAGUGUCUUCAAAAAAGCAGUCUACCAAUCAACAAUAUCCAUAUUAGACUUUACAUGAGUGUCAAAUAAAACUCUCUCCUGUUGGAUCCAUUAUCUACUUUUUUUUCAGCAACUAGUAUCAUCCUAACAUGUUGCCAUUGGUAAGUUAGAGAGAAGAUGACUCAUCUUACCAAAAGUUAAUCAUUAAUUUAUAAAAAUAAAAAGAAGCACCAAGAAAAAAAUAUGUGGUGAUAUUUUCCUGUUUACAUGAUGUUUUUAUUUCAAGAAAAUUGUGUUAAGCUUGCAUAAUAGCCUGCCAGUUCUAAUCAUCCAUAAAUUUAAAUGUUCUGGGUUCAGGAGUGCAUGAUAGAGUAGAGACUCUGUGAAGUAAGGUCCUUAUUAAGAAGAUCCAGUUAUGGAGGAAGAAAAGCUUGGAGGAAAUGGUAAUUUAUCACUGUAACAAACACCAGAGGAAUUUUAAGUGAAGAAAUUGUGUAAGACCUUUGAGUUGUCUUCAGAGCUCUAAUGAAUGUUUCUUAAGGUGUAAUUAAAGUCUUAUGGAUUGAUUCAAAUACGCAUUUGUGAUUUUUCUGUUAUUUUACUUUUAAGUAUAUAAUUUGAAGACUGAAUAGGCAAAAAAAAAAAAAAAA